CUCUCAGAGGAUUCACUUUCAAAGUUAAGAUCUAAUGAAAGUGUCUCAACUUGAUUACUUUUUCGGUUCCAACAUUUGUCUUCAUCAAACACCACACUUCUAGAAAGAAUGAUUUUCUUUAACUGGAGGUCAUAGAUUAUGUAGCCCUUCUCACAACUACCAUAUCCCAUAAAUAUACCUUUGCUUGAUUUCUUAUUAAUUUUUUGUCUCAAUGGUGUGAAGGAAAAAUUUGUGAAAACAAGUUCAUUUGAGCAACAUCUAUGCAUGCAAUUAACAAUUAAAAGGCAGAAUCAUGCUUGUAUGCACUUAACAAACAAGACUUAACCCAUGAAAUUUAAAGCCUAGUAGUUAUGGUGAACCAAGACUCAACUCCAAAACAAAGUGAGUUGAGAAAUCUUAUACCUUUGCUGAUUCCUCUUUGCAUAAGCAAAGGCUAAUCACCCAAGGAGAGAGCCUUCAUUCCUUGCUUCCUAGCCCCAUGUAUUUCUUAAAGGAGGAUGGUUGAAAGGAUUCUCCAAGUUCCCAAAAUAGAGAACCUUUAAUCUUUCCACACCAAGGAGAGCAUUGAUGAGGAGAUGAGUGACCUAGAGGAAGGAAGAUUGCUAGCUAUGUUCCUUUAGGGUGGCCGGCCUCUUAAAGAGAAAGGGAAAGUUUGUGUUCUCUCUAGUUUCGUCAAAGAAAACCCUAACGAUGAAAAGGCUAUAAAGUUGC
rnacentral:lncRNA from 1 species